CCAAUAGCGUAUAUUAAAGUUGUUGCAGUUAAAAAGCUCGUAGUUGAAUUUCGGGGUCAGUAGGUCGGUCGUGCCUACGGUAUGUACUGGUCUCACUGAUUCCUCCUUCUUGAAGAACCGUAAUGUCAUUAACUUGGUGUUGCGGGGAAACAGGACUGUUACUUUGAAAAAAUUAGAGUGUUUAAAGCAGGCAAACGCCUGAAUACAUUAGCAUGGAAUAAUGAAAUAGGACGUUCGAUCCUAUUUUGUUGGUUUCUAGGAUUGACGUAAUGAUUAAUAGGGAUAGUUGGGGGCAUUAGUAUUCAAUUGUCAGAGGUGAAAUUCUUGGAUUUAUUGAAGACUAACUACUGCGAAAGCAUUUGCCAAGGAUGUUUUCAUUAAUCAAGAACGAAAGUUAGGGGAUCGAAGACGAUCAGAUACCGUCGUAGUCUUAACCAUAAACUAUGCCGACUAGGGAUCGGAUGAUGUUAAUUUUUUAAUGACUCAUUCGGCGCCUUACG
rnacentral:rRNA from 1 species